rnacentral:rRNA from 1 species
AGAGUUUGAUCCUGGCUCAGGAUGAACGCUGGCGGCGUGCUUAACACAUGCAAGUCGAACGAUUAAAGCCCCUUCGGGGGUGUAUAGAGUGGCGAACGGGUGAGUAACACGUGAGCAACCUACCUUUUGCACUGUGGAUAACCCAAGGAAACUUGGGCUAAUACCGGAUACUUCUAAGCGAUCGCAUGAUUGCUUAGAGAAAGCUUUUGCGGCAAAAGAUGGGCUCGCGGUCCAUUAGCUAGUUGGUGGGGUAACGGCCUACCAAGGCGAUGAUGGAUAGCCGGGUUGAGAGACCGACCGGCCACAUUGGGACUGAGACACGGCCCAAACUCCUACGGGAGGCAGCAGUGGGGAAUUUUGCGCAAUGGGCGAAAGCCUGACGCAGCAACGCCGCGUGCGGGAUGAAGGCCUUCGGGUUGUAAACCGCUUUCAGUAGGGAAGAUUAUGACGGUACCUACAGAAGAAGCUCCGGCUAAAUACGUGCCAGCAGCCGCGGUAAUACGUAUGGAGCAAGCGUUAUCCGGAUUCAUUGGGCGUAAAGCGCGCGUAGGCGGCUUGUUAAGUCAGGUGUUAAAUCUGAGGGCUCAACCCCCAGCCGCACCUGAAACUGGCAGGCUUGAGUUUGGUAGAGGAAGAUGGAAUUCCCAGUGUAGCGGUGGAAUGCGCAGAUAUUGGGAAGAACACCAAUGGCGAAGGCAGUCUUCUGGGCCAUAACUGACGCUGAGGUGCGAAAGCUAGGGGAGCGAACAGGAUUAGAUACCCUGGUAGUCCUAGCCGUAAACGAUGGGCACUAGGUGUGGGGAGAAAAUUCUCUCCGUGCCGCAGCUAACGCAUUAAGUGCCCCGCCUGGGGAGUACGGCCGCAAGGCUAAAACUCAAAGGAAUUGACGGAAGGG